rnacentral:rRNA from 1 species
GAACUUAAGCAUAUCAAUAAGCGGAGGAAAAGAAACCAACAGGGAUUGCCUCAGUAACGGCGAGCGAAGCGGCAACAGCUCAAAUUUGAAAUCUGGCCGCAAGGUCCGAGUUGUAAUUUGUAGAGGAUGCUUUUGGCGAGGUGCCUUCCGAGUUCCCUGGAACGGGACGCCAUAGAGGGUGAGAGCCCCGUACGGUAGGACCACCAAGCCUCUGUAAAGCUCCUUCGACGAGUCGAGUAGUUUGGGAAUGCUGCUCUAAAUGGGAGGUGUACGUCUUCUAAAGCUAAAUACCGGCCAGAGACCGAUAGCGCACAAGUAGAGUGAUCGAAAGAUGAAAAGCACUUUGAAAAGAGGGUUAAAAAGUACGUGAAAUUGUUGAAAGGGAAGCAUUCAUGACCAGACUUGGGCUUGGUUGAACAUCCGGCGUUCUCGCCGGUGCACUCUGCCAGUCCAGGCCAGCAUCAGUUUGCCCCGGGGGAUAAAGGCGGCGGGAAUGUGGCUCCCUUCGGGGAGUGUUAUAGCCCGUCGUGUAAUGCCCUGGGGCGGACUGAGGAACGCGCUUCGGCACGGAUGCUGGCGUAAUGGUCAUCAAUGACCCGUCUUGAAACACGGACCAAGGAGUCGUCUUCGUAUGCGAGUGUUCGGGUGUCAAACCCCUACGCGUAAUGAAAGUGAACGUAGGUGAGAGCUUCGGCGCAUCACCGACCGAUCCUGAUGUUCUCGGAUGGAUUUGAGUAAGAGCAUACGGGGCCGGACCCGAAA